UCUAGGUCAUUUGCUAACAUACCGAAUAGUGAACCUGCGGAAGGAUCAUUACCAAAAGGAACCCUUCGGGGUUAAUCCUCAACCCUUUGUUUAAAUACCACGCUUCUUUGGCGGGCUUGCCCGUCAGAAGAUUUCUCAAACCCUGUAAACGUGUCAUCUGAAUCAAACAUUAAAUAUAAUAAAACUUUCAACAACGGAUCUCUUGGUUCU
rnacentral:misc_RNA from 1 species